UACGUAGGGUGCGAGCGUUAAUCGGAAUUACUGGGCGUAAAGUGUGCGCAGGCGGCCGAGCAAGUCGAGUGUGAAAGCCCCGAGCUUAACUUGGGAACUGCGCUCGAAACUACUUGGCUAGAGUGUGGCAGAGGGAGGUGGAAUUCCACGUGUAGCGGUGAAAUGCGUAGAGAUGUGGAGGAACACCGAUGGCGAAGGCAGCCUCCUGGGCCAACACUGACGCUCAUGCACGAAAGCGUAGGGAGCAAACAGG
rnacentral:rRNA from 1 species